UGUUAACUCUGCUGCUCGGGCUGAUGCUAGCUAACGCUAGCAUGUGAGCGGUUCCUCUAGGGACUGACCUGCUCUGUGCAGCCGGACUACGGGCUGCAUCGCGGCAUCGAGCAGCCUCCUCUGUCGGCAGAUCUCCCGCUCGGACCGCCCCACUCGAUCCUCGUACUCUAACAAGGUUUCCUCAAGCCCCGCGAGGAUCUGUUCCCCCGCCGCCGCGAGCCGCUCGGUGAGCAUCGCUCUCAGCUCCGGGACUUGAUCCUUUCCUCCUCCUUUCUCCACCUGCAGCAGGAAGUCUUCAGCGGCAGCGCUGAUCAGCUCAUGUACCGACACCCGCAGCAGCUGCACGGCGGACAUGUUCCUCCUCUCCUCACUCUGAGUCUCUGAGGGGACAAAGACCAUAUGACAAAGACAGACAGCGACAGGAAACAGAGACUCCGAGCUCCGAGUCAGCAGCGACCCCUGUUGAACUGGAGGACGAAGAGGAAACAAAAGUACUAAUACUGCACAGAAGAAAUACUCUGUUACAAGUACUAAAGUACAAGCAACGAAAUAAACUUAACCAAUCGUGGAAGAAGUAUUCGGAUCAUUCAUUGAGAAGCUGGAACCUCCCACGCUCCUCGUGGAAGUGAACACCUCGACCCGGCUGAUGUGCCUCGCCGUGUGGAAACAUUCAUCGGUGCAGCCGCCCGCUGAGGAACCAGCAGCUGCGGCGACGACAUCCGAAGAACUCGCUCGAGAGCUUUCAAAGACCAAGAGAGUUCGAAUUGUGACGGAAGUAGUCGUUCUGGAAGACGAGAGCAACCAGACAAAGAAGAAGAAAAAGGACGUUGGAAAAUGAAAUGAGCAGCAAUAAAAAAAACAUCUUUCAAAAAUGUAAAUGCACUAUUUUAUAUAUUUGAACUUUUUUCUUUGUUGAACAUGCAGAUACCUGUAAUGGACACUGGGAGGUUGGAUAUUUGUUAGAUAUCAUUAGAUUCCAGUUAUCCAGCCGUCGUCCUGACUAGUCUCACUAAGAGUUACUAUUUAUAUCAGAAGACUCACUAACCCACAUAAAAGGUUUUCUUGAGUGUCCCCAAGUUAAGCGCAGAAACCUGUGUCUGUGUUUGCUCAGGUUCACCUGCAGAUUCUAACUCGUCUGUCGUUCUUUUCAGAAUCAGGUCUGGUUCCUUUCCAGGUUCAAUUCAAUUAAAAAACAAUUAAACAUUAAAAUUAAAAUUUCUACAAUUUCUAGAACUGCAAAGCAGCACUGAACAGGCCCGAACACAUGCAUUUUGAAGAGUGGCAUGUGUUUUACUCAUGCCACUCACGCUUCACUUCCUGCUUCCGUCACGUGAUGUCGAUCCUUGCCUGCUAAUUGCUCAUUAGAUUAAAUAUGUUUGUUUUGAAUCACUGCCCUAUGAUCUGUUGUUUUAUAUAGAACUGUGAUCUACUGAGUCCAGUAUCACACAGAUUGACCAACGGACCCAAACCAUCCCAGUAUAAGCACAUCAAAAUAAUUAUCUUAAAUGUUAUAGAUUGGGGACAUCACAGCUGUCCCUGAAUUUAACAAUCCUGCUGUUUGACAUUUAUCGUCAUCCAUGUCAACGAGGGCUCCUCCGCCAUCGCUGCUUCACUGUCUGUGUGUGUGAGUGUAAUGCUGCGUUCCAGACGACUCGUACUUCAGAUAAUCUGACCUGAAAUGGCCCAGUUCCAACUUCACGUCAAACGUAACAAACAUGUCUGACUGUGAGAAGCUGAUUAAUUUGUCUCGUGAUGAGACAAUUCAACUGUAGCCAGUGCAGCCUCUGUUCAUACAGAAACAAAGAGGAGGAGGACAACGCCAUUAUCUUGUUAUGAGACUUUGAUUCUUGG